rnacentral:rRNA from 1 species
UGGGGAAUAUUGGACAAUGGGGGAAACCCUGAUCCAGCGACGCCGCGUGAGUGAAGAAGUAUUUCGGUAUGUAAAGCUCUAUCAGCAGGGAAGAAAAGAGACGGUACCUGACUAAGAAGCCCCGGCUAACUACGUGCCAGCAGCCGCGGUAAUACGUAGGGGGCAAGCGUUAUCCGGAUUUACUGGGUGUAAAGGGAGCGUAGACGGCAGUGCAAGUCUGGAGUGAAAGGCAGGGGCCCAACCCCUGGACUGCUCUGGAAACUGUAUUGCUAGAGUGCAGGAGAGGUAAGUGGAAUUCCUAGUGUAGCGGUGAAAUGCGUAGAUAUUAGGAGGAACACCAGUGGCGAAGGCGGCUUACUGGACUGUAACUGACGUUGAGGCUCGAAAGCGUGGGGAGCAAACAGG